UACAGAGUGAGUUCCAGGAGAGCCAGGG
rnacentral:piRNA from 1 species